AGUUGCCAUCAUUUAGUUGGGCACUCUAGUGAGACUGCCGGUGGACAAACCGGAGGAAGGUGGGGAUGACGUCAAGUCCUCAUGGCCCUUAUGGUAGGGCUUCACACGUCAUACAAUGGUCGGUACAGAGGGUUGCCAAGCCGCGAGGUGGAGCCAAUCCCUUAAAGCCGAUCGUAGUCCGGAUCGUAGUCUGCAACUCGACUACGUGAAGUCGGAAUCGCUAGUAAUCGCAGAUCAGCAUGCUGCGGUGAAUACGUUCCCGGGUCUU
rnacentral:rRNA from 1 species